rnacentral:rRNA from 1 species
UACGGGGGGAGCAAGCGUUGUUCGGAUUUACUGGGCGUAAAGGGCGCGUAGGUGGCUUCAUAAGUCCGUUGUGAAAGUCAAAGGCUCAACCUUUGAAAGCCGAUGGAUACUGUGGAGCUAGAGUACGGAAGAGGCGAGUGGAAUUCCUGGUGUAGCGGUGGAAUGCGCAGAUAUCAGGAGGAACACCAAUAGCGAAGGCAGCUCGCUGGGACGUUACUGACACUGAGGCGCGAAAGCGUGGGGAGCGAACAGG